AUUGAACGCUGGCGGCAGACCUAACACAUGCAAGUCGAGCGGAUGAGAGGAGCUUGCUCCUUGAUUUAGCGGCGGACGGGUGAGUAAUGCCUAGGAAUCUGCCUGGUAGUGGGGGAUAACGUCCGGAAACGGGCGCUAAUACCGCAUACGUCCUACGGGAGAAAGCAGGGGACCUUCGGGCCUUGCGCUAUCAGAUGAGCCUAGGUCGGAUUAGCUAGUUGGUGAGGUAAUGGCUCACCAAGGCGACGAUCCGUAACUGGUCUGAGAGGAUGAUCAGUCACACUGGAACUGGGACACGGUCCAGACUCCUACGGGAGGCAGCAGUGGGGAAUAUUGGACAAUGGGCGAAAGCCUGAUCCAGCCAUGCCGCGUGUGUGAAGAAGGUCUUCGGAUUGUAAAGCACUUUAAGUUGGGAGGAAGGGCAGUAAGCUAAUACCUUGCUGUUUUGACGUUACCGACAGAAUAAGCACCGGCUAACUUCGUGCCAGCCGCCGCCGUAACAC
rnacentral:rRNA from 1 species